UGAGCAAUCUGCCCUUCUCUUCGGAAUAAGCGUUGGAAACGACGUCUAAUGCCGAAUACGACCUCCUUUCGCAUGAUCGGAGGUGGAAAGCUCCGGCGGAGAAGGAUGAGCUCGCGGCCUAUCAGCUAGUUGGGUGGGGGUAAUGGCUCACCAAGGCAACGGACGGGUAGCUGGUCUGAGAGGAUGGGCCAGCCACAUUGGGGACUGAGACACCGGCCCCACGACCUCUACGGGGAGGG
rnacentral:rRNA from 1 species